UCGAUGAAGAACGCAGCGAAACGCGAUAGGUAAUGUGAAUUGCAGAAUUCCUUUUGCAUCGGUUNAAACGCAGCGAAACGCGAUAGGUAAUGUGAAUUGCAGAAUUCCGUGAAUCAUCGAAUCUUUGAACGCACCUUGCGCUCCAUGGUAUUCCGUGGAGCAUGCCUGUUUGAGUGCCGCGAAUUCUCCCUCCCCUUACGGUGGCCGAAAGGCCGAAGUAGGGCGGACGGGGUAGGAUGGGUGUUGCUGCCUGGGGAUUGUACCAGGCUCGCCCGAAAUGCAUAAGCGCCAGGACCCUCGCUACCGCUCUCUAGGGAAGAGUGGCUAAGCGACCGCUGAGCAUGGCAUGAUACGUCAUUUGCUGUGUGUGGGCGGCCGGUUGGAGAGGUGUCUGCUUUACCAGCCCUUUUUUAAUUCUGGUCUCAAAUCAGGUAGGAUCACCCGCUGAACUUAAGCAUAUCAAAAGCCGGAGGACUGGUCUCAAAUCAGGUAGGAUCACCCGCUGAACUUAAGCAUAUCAAUAAGCGGAGGAA
rnacentral:rRNA from 1 species